GGGUGCGAUCAUACUAACGCUAAUGCACCGGAUUCCAUCAAAAUUCUGCAGUUAAUCGUGUUUGGGCGAAAAUACUAAUAAGAUGGAUGAUCUUCCAAAAACUCUUUGUGUUGCACUCC
rnacentral:rRNA from 2 species